rnacentral:piRNA from 1 species
ACAUUGAGUUUACGUGGUAGUUAGG